CAAAUCAAAUACUUUAAUAAUACAGUAUUUAACAGUAAAGAGUAAAGAACUUGAUAGUUUCCUAAUGUGAUUUCUUGAGGUUCAUGGCAUGCUUACCGCUAGAUGGCACUUUCCAACCACAACUUUAAUUUCUAAGCCCACAGAAAUUCAUUAAAACAUUAUUUCAGCUUUAUCUUUCUCCCUAACAUUGUACCCCAAACACCUUACUUCACAGAUCAUUCCCUCUAUUUAGCCCUGAAGAAGUCAGUGUGUCAUACUUUAUUCUACUAGAUUUUUCACAAUAUCCAAACUUAAUUACUUCAGCUCUUAAUAGCCCUUUAGUUUGUUGGGGGGUUGAGAGAGCUAGUAAUGGCUUACAUCAGUGCUGUUAACACUUAUGACAUAUAAACAUGAAAAGGGCUAACCCAGUUCCUUUUGCUUCCUGAGGUAUAAAACAAGAUGGCAUCCUCUUAUCCCAAGAACAGAAGAUGACUUGGCUGGCAACUGAAUUCUGCUUUAUCAAUCAUGUGAGGGAACCUGAAGCAGCAAGAUAGAUUAGGAAAUACAAGAUCUAGGAGCCGUCUAUCAGACACAUGCACACUUCAUUCAACCCAGAGCAUGAAUUAUUUGGACUACAACUCACCGAGCACAGCCAUGAUCGUUGGGAAAGACAAUAAAUUCUCAGACUGGCUUACUUCCAGCCCAGAAGGCUUUGGGUAUCUAAAUGGGUAUCCAUUGUCAUCAAAGAAUCUU